rnacentral:rRNA from 1 species
GGUCGAGCAGGUACGAAAGUAGGNCAUAGUGAUCCGGUAGGUUCUGAAUGGAAGGGCCAUCGCUCAACGGAUAAAAGGUACUCCGGGGAUAACAGGCUGAUACCGCCCAAGAGUUCAUAUCGACGGCGGUGUUUGGCACCUCGAUGUCGGCUCAUCACAUCCUGGGGCUGAAGUCGGUCCCAAGGGUAUGGCUGUUCGCCAUUUAAAGUGGUACGCGAGCUGGGUUCAGAACGUCGUGAGACAGUUCGGUCCCUAUCUGCCGUGGGCGUUGGAUGAUUGAAGGGAGUUGCUCCUAGUACGAGAGGACCGGAGUGAACGAACCUCUGGUGUUCGGGUUGUCACGCCAGUGGCACUGCCCGGUAGCUAAGUUCGGAAUCGAUAACCGCUGAAAGCAUCUAAGCGGGAAGCGAGCCCUGAGAUGAGUCAUCCCUGACCCCUUGAGGGUCCUAAAGGGCCGUUGGAGACCACAACGUUGAUAGGUGGGGUGUGUAAGCGCAGUGAUGUGUUGAGCUAACCCAUACUAAUUACCCGUGAGGCUUAACCAUACAACACCCAAGAAGUGUUCUG